rnacentral:lncRNA from 1 species
ACAUGACAGGACACGGGCGGGACGUGUCAGAACGUCGCAGGACAUGGUAGGGCGUGGCCAUGGAAAGACUCAAGAUGUGUCAGGACGCGUCAAGAAAUGGCCAUGGCACGCGCCAGGACCCGUCUGGGCAUGUCCAUGACACGAGUCAGGACAUCGCAGGACAAGGCAGGGCGUGGCCAUGGCACGAGUCAGGACAUGCCAGGGCGUCGCCAUGGCAAGAGUUAGGACGUUGCAGGACGCGUCAAGACUUGGCCAUGGCACGUGUCAGGACGCAUUAGGACAUGGCAAUGGCACGUGUCAGGACAGGGCAGGGCGUGGCCAUGGCACGAGUCAGGACGUCGCAGGACAUGUCAAGACAUAGCCAUGGUAGAUAUCAGGACGCAUCAAGACAGGGCCAUGGCACGUGUCAGGACGCGUCAGGACAUGGAAGGGUGUGGCCAUGGAACAAGUAGGGACGUUGCAGUACAUGGCAGUGCCCCUAAUUACUAUCCAACGAAACCACAGCCAAGGCAACGGGCUUGGCAGAAUCAGCGGGCAAAGAAGACCCUGUUGAGCUUGACUCUAGUCUGACUUUGUGAAAUGACUUGAGAGGUGUAGUAUAAGUGUGAGACGAAAGGUGAAUGUUAAAUACUUAUUCCGUGAAUCGGAAACAGGGCACUAUGUCACGGGAUGAGUAUUUUGCGGACAUGUCAGGACGCGUCAAGACAUGCCCAUGGCAAGUGUCAGGACGUGUCAGGACAUGGCAGGGCGUGUCCAUGGCACGAGUCAGGACAUCAUAGAAUAUGGCAGUGCGUGGCCAUGGCACGAGUCGAGACAUCGCAAAGCAUGGCAGGGUGUGGCCAUGGCAUGAGUCAGGACAUUUCGGGACGCAUCACGACAUGGCUAUGGCACAUAUCAGGACACGUCAGGACAUGGCAGUGGCACGUGUCAGGACAUAGUAGGGCGUGGCCAUGGUAUCACUCAUGACGUCUCAGGACAUGGCAUGAGAUGGGACGUCGAAGGACGCGUCAGGACAUGGCCAUGGCACGUGUCAGGACGCGUCAAGACAUGGUAGUGGCACGUGUCAAGAUGCGUCAGGUUAUAGCAGGGCGUGGCCAUGGCAUGACUCAUGACAUUGCAGGACAUGGCAGGGCGUGUCCAUGGCACGAGUUGGGACGCCGCAAGACGCGUGAGGACAUGGCCAUGGUACGCGGCAGGACGCGUCAGGACAUGCCCAUGCCCAUGGCACGUGUCAGGAUGCGUCCUGGCACGAGUCGGGACGUCACAGGACAUGGAAAGUCGUGGCCAUGGCAUGAGUUGGGACGUCGUAGGAUGCGUCAAGACAUGGCCAUGGUACGUGUCAGGACGCGUCAGGACAUGGCCAUGGAACGUGUGAGAAUGCGUCAGGACAUGGCAGAGCGUGGGAAUGGCACGAGUCGGGACGUCACAGGACGUAGCAAGGGGUGUCCAUGGCACGAGUCAGGACGCCGCAGGACGCGUCAGGACAUGGCCAUGGCACGUGUCAGGACGCAUCAUGACAUGGCCAUGGCACGUGUCAGGACGCGUCAGGACAUGGCAGGGUAUGGCCAUGGCACGAGUCGGGAGGUCACAAGACAUGGCAGGGUGUAGCCAUGGCACUAGUCAGGACGUUGCAGGACGCGUCAGGACAGGGCCAUGGCACAUGCCAGGGCAUGCCAGAUACGCGAUAGGGCACGAGUCAGGACGUUGCAAAACAUGGCAGGAUAUGGCCAUGGUACGUGUCAGGACGUGUCAAAACAUGGCCAUGGCACGACGAUGCACCAAGCCGCACCACAUCGCUCCAAGUCGUACCACGUCACACCACGUCUAUUUCUAGCCAAUGCUUAGAAACAUGUCAAGCGCAAUGAUGUUGGUGAUCGUUGGCAGCGGCGGUGGAAAGUUGGGGUGGUUCGAGUGGUGGAGUCCUGCAACGGUCGGUCGGUCGGUCGACGCUUGGUGGUUGGCGACGAUUGCUUCAAAUCCUAAUCACUUGUUGUUGUAGGGCAACAUGUGAAGAGCAAUGAUGUUGGUGGUCGUUGGUAGCGGUGGUGGAAAGUCGCGGUUGUUCGAGCGGUAUCCACCGAGGACGGUUGGUCGACGCUUUGUGGUUGGCGGCGGUUUUUUCAAAUCGGAAUCCGUUUUUGUGGUUGCGACAAUGGAGGUGCCUCGUGCUUAUUGGCAGUUGGUCAUCUAUAUGCUUUUAUAGUAAUAUUAUGUAUUUUUCCUUUGUUUAAUAUAUAUUUCAAGUAAUAUUUAUGCUUUUUUUGUUAUUUUAACUUAUUUUUUUCACUUUUCAAUAAAAAUAUUUACUCUUUUAUAUCUAAUACUAUUACAAGAUGUAUUGGAAUUUUUAUCCAUCAUUUUUUCUAUUGUUAUAAUAAUUUUCAUAUUUUUUAGUAUUUUAUUAAGUAUUUUUUAUUUUUAAAUAAAAAUAUUUAAAAAAAAUAUUUUUUUUGUAAAAAUUGUCAUUUACAAUGUAUAAAAGUCAUUUGUGAAUAUAUUAGCCAAGUUGUAAUUUGGUUUGUGCUAUUUGGUGUUGUACAUGUCAAUUAUGAUUCUCUAGCCAAAACAUGUCUACUCCUGAAACUUGGUUUUUUUUUAAGCAUAUAUAAGGGGGUAGAGGUGUUGAGAGGCACCUCAGGUGCUUGCUGCCAGGAUGGGGCGGGCAUGCAUGAGGGACGUUGGCAUAGGUCGUGGGCAUUGGGGGCAUGCACGGCUUGUCCGUGCUACGUCCUCGAUGUUCCCAAACCGCGCCGGUAGGUACUCGUGUUGGCUUUUAGUACGCCUGGUGGUGGCACCGCUCGUGGCAAACAUUGGCUUUUGGCAACGAACGGUGGAGCAACAUGCAAGUAGCUCCCCAAGGUGCCGUGCGCAUGGGGCGAAACUCAGUACUUGUUGAUCACCAUUGGAUGUUGCGGGAAACAUCGGGAGGCGACAUCGCUCGUGGAGGCUGAUGGCUUUUGGCAACAGAAUGGCAAAACAUCGUUCAAGUAGAGCUGCAAGGUGCUGUACGCAUGGGGCAAAUCUUAGCAAGUUGUUGAUUGCCAUUGGUUGUUGUGGGUUGUGUCUGGAAUCUCUCGUGGCGACUGAUGGCUUUCGACAACGAACGGCAGAGCGUCGUUCAAGUAGCGCCGCAAGGUGCCUGUGCAUGGGGCGAAGCUCACUAGAUGUCGAUUGCCAUCGAUUAUUGCGGGCAACAUCGCUCAUGGCGGUUGAUGGCUUUCGGCAAUGGAACGGCGGAGCGUCGUGCGAGUAUCGUUGCAAGGUGACGUGCGCAUGGGGUGAAGCUUAGUAAGUUGCCUAUUGCCACCAAUUUUUGUGGGUUGUGUCUGUAAACCCCCCUCCAUGGCAGCUUAUGGCUUUUGACAACGAACGGCGGAGCAUCAUGCAAGUAGCGCCACAAGGGGCGAAGCUCAGUAGAUGUUCAUUGCCAUCGGUUGUUGCGGGAAACAACAGGAGGCGACAUCGCUCGUGGCGGCUGAUGGCUUUUGGCAAUAAAAUGGUAAAGCAUCAUGCACGCAAGGUGCCAUGCACACGAAGCAAAGCUUAGUAACUUGCUAAUUGCCAUCGGUUGUUGUGGGCAACAUUGCGAGGCGACAUCGCUCAUGGCGGCUGAUGGUUUUUGGCAACAAAAUGGCAAAGCAUCGUGCAAGUAGCGCCUCAAUGGGCUGUGCGCACAGGGCAAAGCUUAGUAAGUUUCCGAUUUCCAUCGGUUGUUGUUGGCAACAUCGGGAGGCGACAUCGCUUGUGGCGGCUGAUGGAUUUUGGCAACAAAUUACAAAGCAACGUGCAAGUAACACCACAAUGUGCAGCGCUCACGGGGCGAAGCUUAGUAAGUUGCAGAUUUCCAUCAGUUGUUGCGGGAAAAAUCGGAAGGUCACAUCGCUCGUGGUGGCUGAUGGAUUUUUGCAAUGGAAUGGAAACGCAUCGUGCGAGUAGCGCCGCAAGGUGCCAUGCGCAUGGGGCGAAGCUCAGUAAAUUGCCUAUUUCCAUCGGUUGUGUGGGUUGUGUCUGGCAUUGUUCAAACCCCCUAUUCGUGCUUUUCGGGGCUUCUCUUGGCUUUGCAUUGUUGGCAUCGGCAACAACACAUGGAUGCGCGUCACGUGUUGGAGCUAGUGUUGGCUUUGUAUCGGCAAGGCAAGUGUACGUGCGGCACAUGAGUUGUGUUCGGCUUGUGUGGCUAGGUUGGAUCCUUGCUGGAGCAGCGACGUUCUAGCUCGCAUACCAUCUCAGUCAUGUAACAAGCACAUUUUAGGCUUGUUCGACGUCGGUAUUAUGUGUUGCAUACCUGAUGCCAAGUCAUUAUCAAGCGCAAUUGGUCACCUUUGCCCCUUGCGUUCGACGUGCGGGGAGAACAAAAAGCUGCAUUUGUGUCCCAGGUCGCCCUGGCUUCGCCUUGCGAUGGCUUAGUCCAUGACUUAGCAUGCUCGGGCUCUCGAAUUUGGUAAACGCAAUGGGCACGGGGCCUUCAUUGGCUCCUAUCUGCCACAAGAAUGCUCCUUACGAAUGAUGGUCGUGCUCGCCUUGGACUUGGCCAUGCCAUUUUGCGUCGUCCACGCUCAUGCGACGCCGGCGUCAAUGAGAAAUGCUACCUGGUUGAUCCUCGAAUAGUCAUAUGCUUGUCUCAAAGAUUAAGCCAUGCAUGUGUAAGUAUGAACAAAUUCAGACUAUCGGCCGCGCUCAUGUGAUGCCGGCGUCAAUGAGGAAUGCUACCUGAUUGAUCCUUCUAGUAGUCAUAUGCUUGUCUCAAAGAUUAAGCCAUGCAUGUGUAAGUAUGAACAAAUUUAGACUGUGAAACUGCGAAUGGCUCAUUAAAUCAGUUAUAGUUUGUUUGAUGGUAUCUACUACUCAGAUAACCGUAGUAAUUCUAGAGCUAAUACGUGCAAAAAACCCCGACUUCUGGAAGGGAUGCAUUUACUAGAUAAAAGAUCGACGCGGGCUCUGCCUGUUGCUGUGAUGAUUCAUGAUAACUCGACGGAUCGCACGGCCAUCAUUCGAAAUUCUGCCGGCGACGCAUCAUUCGAAAUUCUGCCCUAUCAACUUUCUAUGGUAGGGUGGUGGCCUACUGUUAGGACCCUAACUUUUUUCAUCACGCGUGGCACGGCUGUGGCAAGGAUUUGGGCGUGAUAGCCUAGUCAUUGGCCUAUGUGCAAGCAAAACGUUCAUGCGGGUCGACGGGUUGUGGUGGAAAAGUACUGGCCAAGGCCUUAGCAUGGGCAAGGCGCGCUUGGAAAAGGCUUGAAGAGGCAACAUCGGCAAUGUUUGGGCGGCAUGGCACGGCAUGCGCACCAAACUAAGUGGCAUGACACUCUUGGAUUGUGGCAGCUCUGUGCGGGCUAAGCUAAGGCGAGGUGGAAAUGCAGGUUGACGCCAAAGGCUUUCAAUAGCUAAGACUAGGCCAUGAGAAAGAAAUACAAGCAUUGGCACAAGGGAAAUGAGGGUUGGCAUGGACAAGGCAGAAAACUAGGCCAAGGCAGUGUGCAUGCGGCAGUAGCGCCGGGUGUGUGCAGAAAUAUCAUAGCAGCGGAUUGCGGGAAAGACAUUUCCAUGGGCAAUGUAAAGUUGAGAUAUGGCGGAGCACAAGGCAGCCUUGGGGGCGAAAUUCAGCUGGCCAAGGAAAUGGCACAUGCAAUGCACAUGGAAAACAGUUGGCGCUUACCAUGUUUUUAUCCAUGAUUUCCCAUUAUCCCAUAAUCUGAUUGUUGCUUGUAUAAUGACCCCAUUUCGUGUAUAUUGUGUCCUAAGUAGUUGGGGAUGUCAACUACAUAGGCCAUGAUCUCCCACUAUUCCAUGAACUGAUUAUUUUUUGUAUAGUGGCCCAAUUUCGUGAAUAAUGUAUCCUAAGUAGUUGGGGAUGUCAACUACAUGUUAGGAUCAUGAUGGAAGUUUAGUCAGACAAGUGGCAAAAGCUGUUAGACGACAAGUGUCAUGAGCGAGCGGUUAAGUUUAAGGGCUUCCUAUAUUCUAUAAAUAGGUCCUUUAACAUAGGAAGAAGCACGAAACAAGUUCAGGGGAAUUACUCGUGGGAAACAAGAGAGGAACGUGAGGGUUUUCUAGUGUUUCCAAAAGGGGGCUAAGGUUGUGCAUGGGCAGAUCUUAGUGUUGGCCAAGAACGACUAGGUGUUCUUCGUCAAAAGUGGGCUGUGAGCGGAUGGAUAGUUCAUAGCAAUUAAGGGUCCUUCGUAUAUUUUCUAUAUUAAUGCAAAGGUUGAGAAUUUGUCCUGUAUAUGUUUUCGUUCCUUUAAAAUUCUGUUUUGUUGCCUAAAUUUCAUUGACUAGGUGUUCUUCAUCAAAAGUGGGAUGUGAGCGGAUGGAUAGUUCAUAGCAAGUGAGGGUCCUUUGUAUAUUUUCUAUAUUAAUGCAAAGGUUGGGAAUUUUCCCUGUAUAUGUUUGUGUUGUCUAAAUUUCUUUUUUGUUGCCUAAAUUUCGUCUAAGGUCAAACUUGCUGAAAAUUAGCAAGUGUUUCGGAAGGCUGAGUCAAGCAGGGGACUUGACUGCCGCGCGGGUGUGGUAUUGGACUAGGUCAAAAACUCCCCCGUGACACCUACUGUUAGGUCCCAAACUUUUGUCAUCGGUUUUGGCACGGCUGUGGCAAGGAUUUGAGCAUGAUGGCCUUGUCAUUGGCCUAUGUGCGAGAAAAACGAUCAUGCGAGUCGACGGGGUUUGGUGGACAAGUAGUGGCCAAGGCCUUGGCAUGGGAAAGGUGUGCUUGGAAAGGUUUGAAGAGGCAACAUCGGCAAUGUUUUGGCGGCAUGGCACGGCAUGCGCGCCAAAAUCAGUGGCAUGACAAUCUUUGGUUGUGGCAGCUAUGUGCGGGCUAAGCUAAGGCGAGGCGGAAAUGCGGGUUGACGGCAAAGGCUUUCAAUACUAAGACUAGGCUAUGGGAAAUAAAAUACAAGCAAUGGCAUGAAGGAAAUGAGGUUGGCACGGAUAAGGCAGAAAACUAGGCCAAGGCAGUGUGCAGGCGGCAGCGGCGCCGGGCGUAUGUGCAAAUAUCAUGGUAGCGGAUUGCGGGCAGGACAUUGGCAUAAGCAAUGUCAAGUUGAGCUAAGGCGGAGCACAGGUCAUCCUUGGGGGCGAAAUUCAGCUGGCCAAGGAUAUGGCACACACACUACACAUGGAAAGCGGUUGGCGGCGGUUACCUUGUUUGUAGGCCAUGAUCUCCCAUUAUCCCAUGUUAUCCCAUGAACUGAUUAUUGUUUGUAUUGUGGCCCCAUUUCGUGUAUAAUGAUUCUAAGUAGUUGGGGAUGUCAACUACAAGUUAGGAAGCAUGAUCUACGCUGUUAGACAACAAGUGUCAUGGGCGGUUUGUAUAGUGCCCCCAUUUCGUGAAUAGUGGAUCCUAAGUAGUUGGGGAUGUCAACUACAAGUUAGGAUCAUGAUUUAUGAUUAGUCCGACAAGUGGCAAAAGCUGUUAGACAUUAAGUGUCAUUGGUGGUUAAGUUUAAGGGCCUAUAAAUAGGACCUUUAACUUAGGCAGAAGUAGAGAGUAAGUUCAGUGGAAUUACUCGUGGGAAACAAGAGAAAAACGUGACGGUUUUCUAGUGUUUCCAAAAGGGGGCGAAGGUUGUGCAGGUUUGUGGCAGUGGCAAAAUAAUCAAUGGAUGGUUACGUUGAUAUUUUUGAGAACAUGGCUGGUGGCAAGAAUGCGGAGCUGCGUCAAAGAGUUGAGAAGUUUGAAGAACUAGUUGGGCAGGCUCUCGAAAGUGAUGGUGAUUCUUAUGUUCUUGCUAGAAUGGCACAUCAGGAGGCAGAUUAUGCACCGAGACAUGAGACAACGCUGGCAGAAAUGGCCUUAGUACGCCAAGAGAAUCAUGAAUUACACGACGAAGUGGCUGAUCUUCGAAGGGCAUUACAAAAUUCUGCCCCUAGAAAUGAUGAGCGCACUAAGUUGAGGAUCCCAGAGCCUAAGGCUUAUGGUGGUGCAGGAAGUGCCAAGGAACUAGAAAAUUUCAUGUGGGAUAUGGAGCAGUAUUUCCAGGCUGCACAUGUGCCGGAUGAUGAAAAGGUGGUGAUCACACCAAUGUACUUGAAGGACGAUGCAAAGGUGUAGUGGCGUACACGAAGUGCAGAUUGAGAAGGUGCUGGACUGCCCAGGGUCGGAACUUGGGAAUUGAUGAAUAAGGAAUUAAAAUCCCAAUUCCUUCCAACAAACUCGUCGUGGAUGGCACGAGAUGGACUGCGUCACUUGAAACAGAGUGGCAUAGUGAGGGAGUAUGUCAAGGAAUUUUCAUCCUUGAUGCUCAAUGUAGGUAAUAUGGCAGAGGAAAAGUGGCACGGUGAGGGAGUAUGUCAAGGAAUUUUCGUCCUUGAUGCUCAAUGUAAGUAAUAUGGUAGAAGAAGACAAGCUGCAUUACUUCAUGAGCGGGUUAAAGGGAUGGGUGCAAUUGGAGUUGAGAAGGCAAAAUGUGCAAAGCCACUCUAGUGCCAUUGCAACGGCAGAUGCGUUGGCGGACCUGAAUAUAGGUGAUGAACAUAUUGAAACUUUGCAUUCGAAGUUCGAAGGAAGGAAGGACAAAGCCAAGGAAUGGAAGAGAAACGGGAAGGGCCAAGCGUCUGAAAAUGACGAACUUGUCAAGAUUGUGAGAUAGGAAAAUCACAAUGGCAAGGAAAGGAACAGCGUGUACAAAGGUUUUUUCACUUGUGGUGGACCGCACUUGAAGAGGGACUAUCCGAUGCAGGCGAAGUUAAAUGCAUUGCUAGUUGCUGAGGGACAGGAACAAGUGGCGGAGGCAAAUGCCAUAGUUGCAGAUGCGAGGGGUGCACCCAGGGCAGUAUUUUUCAACAACCCCUUGGGGUUGUUUAAUUAGGACGGCUCGACGAAGUCGUCGAUUUCAAAAGGUGUGGGUGGUUUGUUAGGACCCUAACUUUUAUCGCCGGACGUGGCACGGCUGUGGCAAGGAUUUGGGCGUGAUGGCCUUGUCAUUGGCCUAUGUGCGAGCAAAACGAUCCUGCGGGUCGAUGGGCUGUGGUGGACAAGUAUUGGCCAAGGCCUUGGCAUGGGAAAGGUGCGCUUGGAAAAGGAUUGAAGAGGCAGCAUCGGCAAUGUUUGGGCGGCAUGGCACGGCAUGCGCGCCAAACUCAAUGGCAUGACACUCUUGGGUUGUGGCAGCUAUGUGCGGGAAAAGCUAAGGCGAGGCCGUAAUAUGGGUUGACGGCAAAGGCUUUCAAUAGCUAAGACUAGGCUAUGGGAAAGAAAAUACAAGCAAUGGCAUGAGCAAAAUGAGGUUGGCACGGACAAGGCAAAAAACUAGGCCAAGGCAAUGUGCGGGCGGCAGCAGCACCGGGCAUGUGUGGAAAUAUCAUGGCAACGGAUUGCGGGCAAGACAUUGGCAUGGGCAAUGUCAAGUUGAGCUACGGCGGAUCACAGGCAACCUUGGGGUCGAAAUUCAGCUUGCCAAAGAUAUGGCACACGCAAUACACAUGGAAAGCGGUUGGCGGCGGUUACCUUGUUUUUAGGCCAUGAUCUCCGAUGAACUCCCAUUAUCCCAUGAAUUGAUUAUUGUUUUUAUUGUGGCCCCAUUUCGUGCAUAGUGGAUCUUAAGUAGUUGGGGAUGUCAACUACAAGUUAAGAGCAUGAUUUAAGCUUAGUCCAACAAGUGACAAAAGCUGUUAGACAACAAGUGUGUUGGGCGGUUAAGUUUAAGGGCCUAUAAAUAGGACUUUUAACUUAGGCAGAAGUAGAGAGCAAGUUCAGAGGAAUUACUCGUGGGAAACAAGAGAGAAACGUGAGGGUAUUCUAGUGUUUCCAAAAGGGGGCUAAGGUUGUGCAUGGGCAGACCUUAGUGUUGGCCAAGAACGACUAGGUGUUCUUCGUCAAAAUUGGGCUGUGAGCAGACAGAUAGUUCAUAGCAAGUGAGAGUCCUUUGUAUAUUUUCUAUGUUAAAGCAAAGGUUGAGAAUUUGUCAUGUAUAUGUUUGUGUUCCUCUAAAUUUCUGUUUUGUUGCCUAAAUUUCGUCUAAGGUCAAACUUGCCAAAAUUGGCAAGUGUUUCGGAAGGCUGAGUCAAGCAAGGGACUUGAUUGCCGCGCGGGUGUGGUUUUGGACUAGGUCAAAAACGCCCCCGUGAAACCAACCAUGGUAGUGAUGGGUGACGGAGAAUUAGGGUACGAUUCCGGAGAGGGAUCCUAAGAAUCGGCUACCACAUCCAAGGAAGGCAGCAUGCGCGCAAAUUACACAAUCCUGACAUGCGGAGGUAGUGACAAUAAAUAACAAUACCGGGCUUUAUGAGUCUUGUGCCAGCAGCCGCGGUAAUUCCAGCUCCAUUAGCGUAUAUUUAAGUUGUUGCAGUUAAAAAGGUCGUAGUUGGACUUUGGGAUAGGCCGGCCGGUCCGUCUUAGGUGUGCACCGGACUUCUCGUCCCUUCUGCCGGUGAUGCGCUCCUGGCCUUAAUUGGCAGGGUUGAGCCUCUGGCGCUGUUUCUUUUAAGAAUAUAGACUUCUCAAAGUAAGCCUACGCUCUGUAUACAUUAGCAUGGGAUAACAUUUUAGGAUUUCGGUCCUAUUGCGUUGGCCUUCGAGAUCGAAGUAAUGUUUAACAGGGACAGUCGGGGGCAUUCGUAUUUCAUAGUCAGAGGUGAAAUUCUUAGAUUUAUGGAAGAAAACAACUGCAAAAGUAUUUGCCAAGGAUGUUUUCAUCAACCAAGAACGAAAGUUGGGGGCUCAAAGUAGAUCAGAUAUCAUCCUAGUCUCAACCAUAAACGAUGCCGACAAAGGAUCGGUGGAUAUUGCUUUUAUGACUCCGCCGGCACCUGGUCGCAAGGCUGAAACUUAAAGGAAUUUACGGAAGGGCACCACCAUGAGUGGAGCCUGCGGCUAAAUUUGACUUAACACGCGAAAACUUGCCAUGUCCAGACAAAGUAAGGAUUGACAGAUUGAGAGCUCUUUCUUGAUUCUAUGGGUGGUGGUGCAUGGCCGUUCUUAGUUGGUGGAGCAAUUUGUCUGGUUAAUUCCAUUAACGAUUGAGACCUCAGCCUGUUAACUAGCUAUGCAGAGGUAUCCCUUCGCGGCCAGCUUUUUGAGGGACUACGGCCUUUUAGUAUACCAUUAACGAAAAAUUCCUCAGCCUGCUAACUAGCUAUGUGGAGGUAUCCCUUCGCGGCCAGCUUCUUAGAGGGACAACGACCUUUUUGGCCACAGAAGUUUGAGGCAAUAACAGGUCUGUGAUGCCCUUAGAUAUUCUGGGCUACACACGCGCUACGCUGAUGUAUUCAACGAGUUUAUAGCCUUGGCCAGCAGGCCCGAGUAAUCUUUGAAAUUUCAUCGUGAUGGGGAUAGAUCAUUGCAAUUGUUUGUCUUGAACGAGGAAUUCUUAGUAAGCGCGAGUCAUCAGAUCACGUUAACUACGUCCCUGCCCUUUGUACGCAUCGCCCGUCGCUGCUACCGAUUGAAUGAUCCGGUAUAAUGUUCCGACCGCGGCGAUGUGGGCGGUCCGCUCCCUGCGACGUUGUGAGAAGUCCAUUGAAGCUUAUCAUUUAGAUUAAGGACAAUUCGUAACAAGGUUUCCGUAGGUGAACCUGUGGAAGGAUCAUUGUAGAAACCUGCCAGGCAAAACGACCCGCGAACUUAUUUAAUAACUGGGGAGCGGUGCGGCUGGGAUGCUUUGGCCUCCGUCUGUGCUGGUUCCUCCUAUAUCCCCGAUGCGCGCGCUUGCGUGUGUGCCGGGUGAUUAACGAACCCUAGCGCGGAAAGUGCAAAUGAAUAUCAAAUUAAAAAGCCUGCCCCUCGCGCCCCGUUCGCGGCGUGCACGGGGGACUUGUGCUUCUUUUGAAACACAAAUGACUCUCGGCAAUAGAUAUCUCGGCUCUCGCAUCAAUGAAAAACGUAGCGAAAUGCAAUACUUGGUGUGAAUUGAAGAAUCCUAUGACCGUUGAGUCUUUGCACUCAAAAUGCCCCUGAAGCCAUUAGGCCAAGGGCACGUCUGCCAAGGCGUCACACAUCGCGUCGCCCCAGCACACCGCGCCCAUUAUCAUGGUCGCGGUGUUGUCGUGGGACAGAUAUUGUCCUCUCGUGCGCCUCGAGCGUGCAGUUGGCCAAAAUGCGAGUCCAUAGCGACGGAUGUCACGAGAAGUGGUGGUUCAAACUCAAAUCUCGUAAUGUCGCAGCUCAAACCCGUCGCAUGUUUGGGUUCCCGACCCUUAUCGAGCUUAGGCGCUCCGACCGCGACCCCAGGUCAGGCGGGACUACCCGCUGAGUUUAUGCAUAUUAAUAUGCGGAGGAAAAUAAACUUACAAGGAUUCCCCUAGUAACCGCGAGCAAACCGGGAACAGUCCAGCUUUAGAAUCGGGCGUCUCCGUCGUCCGAAUUGUAGUCUGGAGAAGCGUCCCUAGCGGCGGACCGGAUCCAACUCCCCUAGAAGGGGGCGCUAGAGAGGCUGAGAAACCCAUUGUGCCCGGACCCUAUCGCACCAUGAGGUGUUGUCUAGUGUCGGGUUGUUUGGGAAUGCAGCCCAAAUCGGGCGGUGAAUUUUGUCCAAGGCUAAAUACGGGCGAGAGGCUGAUAGCGAACAAGUACCAUGAGGGAAAGAUGAAAAGGAAUUUGAAAAUAGAGUCAAAGAGUGCUUGAAAUUGUCGAGAGGGAAGCGGAUGGAGGACGGCGAUGCACCCCGGUCGGAUGUGGAUCGGUGUUGAGCCAGUCCGCCGAUCGAUUCGGGGCGUGGACCUGCAUGGAUUGGGGGGGCGGCCAAAGCCCGGGCUUUUAAUAUGCUCGUGGAACGUUGUCUCCUUGAUUGCGGUAGGCAGCGCGCACCUCUGGCAAGCUUCGACAUCUGCGCGCUCUGGACCCUGGCAUGUGGGCUCCCCAUUCGACCCGUAUUGAAACACGGACCAAGGAGUCUGACAUUUGGGCGAGUCAACGGGCCAGUAACCCCGUAAGGCGUAAGAAAGCUGAUUGGUGGGAUCCCCCUGAAGGGGUACACCGCAGACCAACCUUGAUCUUCUGUGAAGGCUUCGAGUGUGAGCAUACUUGUCGAGACACGAAACAUGGUGAACUAUGCCCGAGCGAGGCGAAGCCAGCGGAAACUCUGGUGGAGGCCUGCAACGAUACUGACGUGCUAAUCAUUCAUCUAACUUGGGCAUAGGGGCGAAAGACUAAUCGAACUGCCUAGUAGCUGGUUCCCUCCGAAGUUUCCCUCAGGAUUACUGGAGCUUGCAUGCAAUUUCCAUCACGUAUAGCCAAUGAUUAGAGGCAUCAGGGUUGCAACGCCCUCGACCUAUUCUCAAACUAUAAAUAGGUAGGACGGCGCGACUUGUUUGUUGAGUCGCGCCGAGGAAUUAAGAGGACCAAGUGGGCCAUUUUUGGUAAGAAGAACAUGCGAUGCACGAUGAACUGGAAGCCAGGUUACGGUGCCAAACUACACUCUAACCAAUAUCCCACAAAGGGUGUUGGUCGAUUAAGAUAGCGGAACGGUGGUCAUGGAAGUCGAAAUCCGGUAAGAAUGUGUAACAACUCACCUACCGAAUCAAGUAGCCCCGAAAAUUGAUGGCGCUUAAGCGCGCGACCUAAACCCGGACUGUGAGGCAAGUGACGCGCCCUGAUGAGUAGGAGGGAGCGGUGGUCGCUGCAAAACCUUCAGCGUGAGUCUCGACGGAGUGGCCGUCGGUGCAGAUCGCAGGAAAUGGCAUGGCGUGGCCAUGGAAUGACUCAUGACGUCGCAGGACAUGGCAGGGCGUGGCCAUGGUACGAGUCAGGAUGUCGCAGGACGCAUUAGGACAUGGCCAUGGUACGUGUCAGGACGCGUCAAGACAUGGCCAUGGCACGUGUUAGGACCCGUCAGGACAUGGCAGGGCGUGGCCAUCGCACGAGUCGGGACGUCACAAUACAUGGCAUGGCGUGGCCAUGUCACGAGUCAGGACGUCGCAGGACGCGUUAGGACAUGGCAUGGUACGUGUCAUGACGCGUCAGGACAUGGCAGGGCGUGGCCAUGGCACGAGUUGGGACGUCACAAGACAUGGCAGGGCGUGGCCAUGGCACGAGUCAGGACGUCGUAGGACGCGUCAGGACAUGGCCAUGGCACGUAUCAGGAUGCNNNNNNNNNNNNNNNNNNNNNNNNNNNNNNNNNNNNNNNNNNNNNNNNNNNNNNNNNNNNNNNNNNNNNNNNNNNNNNNNNNNNNNNNNNNNNNNNNNNNNNNNNNNNNNNNNNNNNNNNNNNUCAGGACAUGCCCAUGGCACGUGUAUGGACAUGGCAAGGCGUGUCCAUGGCUCGAGACAGGAUGUCGCAAGACAUACGUGUCAGGACGUGUCAGGACAUGGCCAUGGCACGACGUCACACCAAGCCGCACAACGUCGCUCCAAGCUGCACCACCACGUCUAUUUCUAGCCAAUGCUUAGAAUCAUGUCAAGCACAAUGAUGUUGGUGAUUGUUGGCGGCGGCGAUGGAAAGUCGGGGUGGUUCGAGCGGUAGCGUCUGACGACGGUCGCUCGAUGCUUGGUGGUUGACGGCGGUUUCUUCAAAUCCUAAUCACUUGUAGUGGUUGGCAACAUGUCAUGCUCAAUGAUGUUGGUGGUCGUUUGUGGCGGUGGUGGAAAGUCGCGGUGGUUCGAGCGGUAUCCACUGGCGACGGUUGGUCGACGCUUUGUGGUUGGCGACGGUUUUUUCAAAUCGGAAUCCCUUGUUGUGGUUGAGACAAUGGAGGUGCUGCGUGCUUAUUAGAGGUUGGUCAUCUAUACGCCUUUAUAAUAAUAUUAUGCAUUUUUCCUUUUUUUUAUAUAUUUUUUAGUAAUUUUUAUUCAUUUUUUGUUAUUUUAAAUUAUUUUUAUGUCACUUUUCAAUAAAAAUAUUUACUCUUUUAUAUGUAGUACUAUUAAAAGAUGUAUUGGAAUUUUUCUCCAUCAUUUUUUCUAUUUUUAUUAUAAUUUUCAUAUUUUUAGUAUUUUAUUAAGUAUUUUUCGUUUUUAAAUAAAGAUAUUUCAAAAAAUAUAUUUUUUUUUGUAAAAAAUAUCAUUUACAAUGUAUAAAAGUCAUUUGUGAAUAUAUUAGCCAAGUUGUACUUUGGUUUGUGUUAUUUGGUGUUGUACAUGUCUAUUAUGAUUCUGUAGCCAAAACAUGUCUACUCCUGAAACUUGGGUUUUUUUUUUAAGUAUAUAUAAGGGGGGUAGAGGUGUUGAGAGGCACCUCAAGUGUUUUGCUAUUUGGUGUUUUACAUGUGUAUUAUGAUUCUUUGGCAAAAACAUGUGUACUCGUGAAACUUGGGUUUUUUUUUAAGCAUAUAUAAGGGGGUAGAGGUGUUGAGAGGCACCUCAUGUGCUUGUUGCCAGGAAGGGGCGGUCAUGCAUGGGAGAUGCUUGCAUGGGCCGUGGGCAUUGGGGGCAUGCACGGCUUGUCCAUGCUACGUCCUCAAUGUUCCCAAACCGCGCCGACAAGUACUCGUGUGGGCUUUUAGUGCACCUUUUGUGGCACCGCUCGUGGCAAUCAUUGGCUUUUGGCAACAAACUCUAGAGCGUCAUGCAAGUAGCUCCGCAAGGUGCCAUGCGCAUGAGGUGAAGCUCAGUACUUGUUCAUCGCCAAUGGAUGUUGCGGGCAAAAUCGGGAGGCGACAUCGCUCGUGGCGGAUGAUGGCUUUUGACAGCAGAACAACAAAGCGUCGUGCAAGUAGCGCCGCAAGGUGCUGUGCGCAUGGGGCGAAGCUUAGUAAGUUGUUGAUUGUUGGUUGUUCAGGGUUGUGUAUGGAAUCUCUUGUGGUGGCUGAUGGCUUUCGACAACGAGCGGCGAAGCAUCGUGCAAGUAGCACCGCGAGGUGUCGUGCGCAUGGGGCGAAGCUCAUUAGAUGUUAAUUUCCAUCGGUUGUUGCGGGCAACAUCGCUCAUGGAGAUUGAUGGCUUUCAGCAAUGGAAUGGCAGAGCGUCGUGCAAGUAACGCAGCAAGGUGCCGUGCGCAUUAGGCGAAGCUUAGUAAGUUGCCUAUUGCUCAAGUAGCCCCGAAGUUGUGUCUGUAAACCCCCCCUCCUACCCCUCCCCCCNNNNNNNNNNNNNNNNNNNNNNNNNNNNNNNNNNNNNNNNNNNNNNNNNNNNNNNNNNNNNNNNNNNNNNNNNNNNNNNNNNNNNNNNNNNNNNNNNNNNNNNNNNNNNNNNNNNNNNNNNNNNNNNNNNNNNNNNNNNNNNNNNNNNNNNNNNNNNNNNNNNNNNNNNNNNNNNNNNNNNNNNNNNNNNNNNNNNNNNNNNNGAAACAUCGCGAGGCGACAUCGCUCGUGGCGGCUGAUGGCUUUUGGAAACAAAAUGGUAAAGCAUCAUGCAAGUAGCUCUUCAAGGUGCCAUGCGCACGAGGCAAAGCUUAGUAAGUUUUUGAUUGCCAUCGGUUGUUGCUGGAAACAUCGAGAGGCGACAUCGCUCGUGGCGGCUGAUGGCUUUUGGAAACAAAUGGCAAAGCAUCGUGCAAGUAGUUCCGCAAGGUGCCAUGCUCACGGGGCGAAGCUUAGUAAGUUGCUGAUGCCAACACUUGUUGCGGGAAACAUCGGAAGGCGACAUCGCUCGUGGCGGCUGAUGGCUUUUCACAAUGGAACGGAAAAACAUCGUGCAAGUAGCGGCGCAAGGGGCCAUACGCAUGGGGCGAAGCUCAAUAAAUUGCCUAUUGCCAUCGGUUGUUGUGGGUUGUGUCUGGAAUUGUUCAAACGCCUUAUUUGUGCUUUGCGGGGCUUGUCUUGGCUUUGCAAUGUUGGCAUAGGGAACAACACAUACUUGUGCGUCACGUGUUGGAGAUGGUGUUGGCUUUGUAUCGGCAAGGCAAGUGUACGUGCGGCACAUGAGUGGUGUUCGGCUAGUGUAGCUAGGUUGGAUCAUUGCUCGAGCAGCGACGUCCUAGCUUGCAUCCCAUCUCAGUCAUGUCACAAGCCCAAAUUAGGCUUGUUCGACAUCAGUUUUCUGUGUUGCAUACCUAAUGCCAAAGAGUAAUCAAGCACGAUUGGUCGCCUUUUGCCCCUCGCGUUCGACGUGGGGGGAGAGCCAAAAGCUGCAGUUGUGUCCCAGGUCGUCCUGGCUUCACCUUGCAAGGGUUUGGUCCACGACUUAGCAUGCUUGGGCUCUCGGAUUUGGUUAACGCAAUGGGCACGGGGCCUUCAUUGGCUCCUAUCUUCCCAAAGAAUGCUCCUUACGAAUGAUGGUUGUGCUCGCCUUGGACUUGGCCGUUCCCUUUUGGGUCGGCCAAGCUCAUGCAACGCCGUCGUCAAUGAGGAAUACUAGCUGGUUGAUCCUGCUAGUACACAUUUGCUUGUCUCAAAGAUUAAGCCAUGCAUGUGUAAGUAUGAACAAAUUAAGACUGUGAAACGACGAAUGGCUCAUUAAAUCAGUUAUAGUUUAUUUGAUGGUAUCUACCACUCGGAUAACCGUAGUAAUCCUAGAGCUAAUACGUGCAACAAACCCCGACUUCUGGAAGGGAUGCCUUUAUUAGAUAAAAGGGGGACGCGGGCUCUGCCUGUUGCUGCGAUGAUGCAUGAUAACUCGACGGAUCGCACGACCAUCGUGUCGGCGACGCAUCAUUCAAAUUUCUGCCCUAUCAACUUUCAAUGGUAGGAUAGUGGCCUACUGUUACACCCCUAAUAUUGACUUGACGGAUGUCAAGAAGAAUUCAUGUCAAGGGCUUGUGCAUUGACCCUUGACAUGGAUUCGUUAAAGUGUUGGCAAGCAAUGUACAAGGCUGGGCUUUUGGCUAAGUUUGUGAUGGACUUAGGCAAGGUAGCUACGCAAGGCAACAGGAGUGUUGGCAAGGCGGCCUUGGUUCGUGGGCAUCGGUAAAUGGCAAAUGGAAGCAUGGCACUUUACAAAUGCAUGUGCGGAUCCGUGAGACGACUUAAUUCAUAGCAGGGCGUGGCUAUAAAAUUAAGGGCGAGGCAAGCUCCAAGGCAAAGCUGGGCUGGAGAUAAAGCAAACAUGGGCAAGGCUAGAGGCCAUCGUGCAUGGCAUGUGACCAAGUGGUGUGCAAGAAAUGUGCUUGGAAGUUGAAGACAUGAUCUAAGAACAUGAGCAUGUGGCUAUAAAGUGGAAGACGUGGUAGAAACUGUCCGUAACUGUCUAAGGCAUGUACAUGGCACAUGGUAGAAACUGCCCCUUUGUAACUGCCAUUGGCAGCCCCUUUAUAUAUAUUGUAUCUUCGUUUGGGGAGAACACAAGUAGCAUUACAUAUGUGAGCCAAGUCUAAAAUGAGAGUCCUUUGAUUAUUCUGCGAUGAUUAAUAAAGGUCAAGUAGCACUACAUAUGUAUGCGAAGUCUAAAGCUAGAGUCGUUCGUAUAUUCUACGAGAAUUAAUAAAGGUUGGGUUUUACCAGUAAACUCUCGGUGUGUUCUUAGUUUGGCUAAAGUCUGAAAAUUCGAAGUUAGGCUGUGUGUGUGGGAAAAAGUGAAGGCUGAGUGGCUGUGACUGCUGCUACCGUGCAGUGUCGAUUUUUGCAAAAAAUUGGCCCUAUAUCAAUUGGUAUCAGAGCUUUGGUUAUAACUCUUGAUCAUGGCGGGUGGGUCUACUUCAGACUUACGUGAUAGAGUGCAACGGUUGGAGGCACUAAUCGGCGUGACCGAUGAUCCUUUGGAUAUGGCAGAUCUUAUUACAGAGAUUUACCGUCUAAAGGAUGGGGCAGAUCAGUUUCGCGAUGGAGUCCAACAAAGUUGUGAAUCAACGGUAUCAGCAUGACUGAUGAUCCUUUAGAUUUGGCAGAUCUGAUUAUAGAGAUUUACCGUCUAAAGGAUGGGGUGGAUCAGUUUCGCGAUGGGAUCCAACUGAGUUGUGAGUCAAUGGAUGACGUAGUUGAAGACCUAAAAAGGAGGUCGAAAACUUGAAGGCCGAAAUCACUGUUCUUCGAAGGGCGUUGGCUGGUCCAAGCCAAGGAACUGAAGAAUUCUCGAAGGUAAAGAUUCUUGAUCCAAAGGCGUUUGGUGGAACAGUUAGUACAAAAGAAUUGGAAAAUUUUCUGUGGGACAUGGAACAAUAUUUUGUGGCUGCCAAAGUUCCAAAUGCGGAGAAGGUCACAAUUACUAGCAUGUACCUAACAGGAGAUGCUAAAUUAUGGUGGAGAACUCGUAUGGUGGACGAUGAAAGUGCGGGAAGACCGAAAAUUGAUACAUGGGAGAAACUCAUAAAAGAAAUGAAGGACCAAUUCUUGCCUUGCAAUGCAUCUUGGCUUGCUAGAGACCAUUUGAAACGCUUGCAACAAACAGGAUCUAUUCGGGAUUAUAUUAAGGAAUUCUCUUCCUUAAUGUUUGAUAUUCAAAACAUGUUGGAGGAUGACAAAUUGCAUAAUUUUAUUUCUGGAAUGCAAGCAUGGGCACAGAAUAUACUUAGGAGACAAAUCGUGAAGGAUAUCCCAAGCGCAAUGGCUGCAGCUGAUUCCUUGGUGGAUUAUCGCAGCACCCGUACUCGUUCAGAUAUUCCUUCUACUUCAAAACCUAACAAACGGGUGGAGAAGAAAGGGGAAUGGAGGAAGGAAGUUCGAGAGGAAGUCGUUGAGAAGGGAAAGGUUGUCGACGGGGAUGUUCAAAACAAAGGCGUCGCGAUAAGGGUCGGGGAGCCCAAACAUGCAGUGAAGAAGUCGUUUGAGAAGGGUAAGGUUGUUGAUGGUGCUGUUCAAAACAAAGGCGUCGCAAAUAGGAAAAUUGAUGGUCGCUGGAAGUGUGAAGGACCUCAUCUUGCCAGAGACUGUCCAAAUCGGGGGCGGGUAAAUGCUUUGCUUGCUACACAAAAUAAUCAGAAUAGAGAAGGCGAAGAAGUUGUUGCUGCCUUAGUAAAUCCUUUGCAAUUAUUGAAUGUUAUCUCAUUGCUGAAUGCUACAAGUAACGAGACGAACCCUCAUUCUUUGCUGAUACACAUCGAAAUGAGAAUUGGGGACAAAAGUGUGAUAACUAUGGUAGAUACUGGUGCUAGUCACACCUUUGUUUGUGCCAGUUUGGUGCAAAAGUAUCGAUUGAGAGUGUCGAAAUGUCCCUCUUACAUAAACACUAUGAAUACCAAAGCACGAGCCAUUGUGGGCAUGGCUUAUGAUGUUCCUAUGUCUGUUGGGAACUUGAAAGGGAAGGUCAAUUUGAUGGU